rnacentral:tRNA from 1 species
UGCAGUGUAGUGGUCACACACCUGGACUCUGGAGCCAGGCUGCCGGGGUUCAAAUCCCAGCUCUGCAG